UUUUUUUUUUUUUUUUUUUUUUUGAUGUUAAUAAUUGGGUAAGCUAGGCCUUUAUCAUUCUCAUUUUGCAGAGUGAGGCUCCGGGAGGUGAGGCUUAUCCAAAGUCCCCCAGCAAGCGUGAGGGAGAAGGGGAACUGGCUCCCAGGAUAUUAUACCACAGCUGGCCCAGGUGGUUGGCCUAGGAGCUGGCCUCACCCAACAGGCAGGUAAGAUACUUAAAUAAAACAAUAGCACACAUCUCCCUGUAUUUUUACACAAGCUUUCUUCAUGCAUGCAGAAACACUCUGAGGCAUGAGUACCCAAAGCUUCACAGUGAGCUGUUGGGAUGCCUAAUUCCUAGAAGCCAGGCUCCACCCAGACCCAACAUUCCAGAGAACAGGCAAUACUGAGAACCAUGCUUUGUCCAGGCAGAGAAUCCUUGGUUUUGAAGACUCCAGCCCCUGCUGCUAUCCCAGGCUUCUAAGCCCUUGAAUCGAAUCCAGGGCAGCAGAAGCUCUGCCACACAAGACAGGGCAAUGCCUCACUCCUCUUGCUCCCCCAGGCCCUGCUGGCUGCAGGGCUCCUUCUCUGAGACUCCCAAGGGAGGACUGACUGCAUGUGAUCUGACCGCCAAACAGGGAGGGAGAGAAGAUGAGGGCCCAGGGCCCUAGAAGAGAAGGAAGUAGGGUUGCAAUUCUAGGCCCUUCUUCCAACCUGGCUCUUCUUCUUAAUGUUCAUGGUCUUGUACUGUUACUUUAAGAACAUACUGAUCCUGUCUUCCAUAUUUUACUGGAAACUCCUUAACAGAGUCUCCACAGUAGGUCCUCCAAAUGCACUUGCGCAGUGCACAGCCUGCACAACCAUUCACAACCUAUGGCUUCUGGCCAUCCCCUGCAUAGCAUGUAUCACCACUGUAAUUAAAUAACUAAUUGCAUCAUUACUUAUUCUGUCUUCACAGAAUAUAAAUCCUCAGGGGAGCACCAGGCCCUGUUUGUCUUGUUCCCAAGCUGUAGCCCAGCCUCCAGCAUAGAAUAGGUGCUCAAUAAACACAUGCUGCGCUAACGAACCCACCCAACCACUCAUUCAUGCAUUCAGUUUGAAGGAGAGUGAACCUGCCCUGCAACUGAAGGUGACAGGCCUCUGUUGUGGUCCCAGCUCUACCAAUGUGUGCCCUUGAGCAAGGCAUUUCCCCUUUCUAGGUCUGUUUCCUCAUCUAUAAAAUAGUGUGGGGUUUACUCUCCAUGCCACAUUUGCACGACCCCGAGGAAAAGCACUUCCUUAAAUUUUGCACCCCGGGCACCUUGCUCACCUCACCCAUCAUGACCUGACCCUGGUUUUCUACAUUUUCCUGGUUUUGACCAGACCUGGGCUUAUGGGAGAUGCUCGGUGAAAUAAGGAGAGGGGGGUUUCCAGGCAGCAUGCAGGGGACGCCAAGGUUAGGAGAGGAGUUGUUACUCCUGGGCUGUAUCUCUGGGAGAGAAAAAUAACAGACAGCAGUGCUUCCCCAGGAGAGCAGUGUCUUCAGAGGGCUUCUUCAUCAGCCUUGUUUACCUGGAAGGAAGGAGGGAAGGGUUGGCUCAAGAUCCAAGUUACCAAGUGCCAGGGCCAGGGGCAAACCCCAGGCACCCUGUGUUCCGAUCCAGACCCUUCGGCAUGCGGGCACAGCCUGGCUCCCAUGAGUGUGGGGCACAACCAGUUUCAGCUGGCAGAGGCACACACAGUGGCAGAGGAAGGAGAUGUUCCUUAGGGCAGAUGGGACAGGAGCCUUGAGAAACAGGAGGGCUUACGGAGGAGGAUGGGGUGGCAUUCCUGGCAGAAGAGAUGAUGUCUGCAUGGUGUGCCUGCAGGAGACCAUGUUUCAAGGGUCUAUGGCCACUUUCUUACUUGCAGAGUGGUCUGGCCAAUGGGGACCCAUGAGAGUGAGGCACAAGGCAAAGCUUAGAUGGAGAUAAAACAGAAGAGCACAACUACAGAGUCCUCUGCCUCCAGGGCAUUCAAAGGACCUCUCCCCAUCAUGGCCUCAGCCUCCCUGUUGUACUGCAUGCAUUAGUUUUGUAAGGCUGCUGUAACAAAUCAUCACCAAUUUAAGCCAAACUGAAUGGCUUAAAACAACACAAACUUAUUAUCUGAGAGGUCAGACAUCCAAAACGGGUCUCACUGGGCUAAAAUCCAGCUGUUGACAGGGCUGCAUUGCUUUCCGGAGGCUCCAGGGAAGAAUCUGUUGCCUCCUUUUCCAGCUUCUAGAAGCUGCCCUCCUUCUUUGGCUCGUGGCCUCCUCAAAGACAACAAUGGCCAGGUCAAGUCUUUCUCACAAUGCAUCCCCCUGGCACUGACCCUUCUGUCUCUGUUCACCACACUUAAAGGCCCUUGGGAUUCCACUGGGACCUUGUGGGUAGUCCAGGACAAUCACCCUAUUCUAAAGCCAGCUGAUUUGCAACCUUAAUUCCAUCUGCUACCUUCCCUCCCCUUUGCCCUGGAACCCACCAUACUCAUAGACUUCGAGAAUUAGGAUGCACACACCUUUGAGCAGGGCAUUAUUCUGCCUUUCACACUGUGUGAGACACAUCUCCUCCAAAUGGAGUUUUGGGAGGAAGCGGCCCAGGAUGAGAGAGAUGGGGUGGGUGGGGCGGGCAGGAGAGGGAGGCAGGCAGACACACACUCAGCCUCCUGGCUGCCUGCUUAGCACACAUCACCCUUGAACACUUCGUCAUGUUUCCACACUGAACCAGGCAUAGGCUGUUUCCACAGUGACUGCAAAAGCAGGAGCAAAGCCAGAAAUAACCCCACUGACAUGGAAAACUUCCCCUUCCCAUGGUACUUUGCUCUCUCCUUCUCCACUCCCCCCAUCAUAUUAUGGGAGGUUCCAGUGGGUUCUAAGUUGGAGGCUGAGGCCUUGGGGAACACUCCUCCUGCAGCCUGGCUCCAGCAGGGGGAACACAGGGAUCUGACUGAGGGGCCUGGCCUAGUAACCUCAUUUCCACACCACUGUGGUGAGCUUGGAGUCUCCUUCUCUCCUCAGCCUCACUGCCUCUGAGCCACAAGUCCCUACCAAGUCCCAACCGCUCCUUCUUGGAUCUCUUGCCACCAAACAUUGGGAUCUACACUCUUGGUCUCUUGGGCCAGAAGCCCAUGGGAUGUUCUGAUCUGGCCCCCUCGUUGGGCCUCUGGGAGGCCGCUGCCUGGUGUGGCCCUGCCUGGUGGGCCUGGGACCCACUCUCACAAGCUCUGCCAGCCCCCAGCCCAGUCCUUGCUCCUGGUGAGCCCUGCCAACCUGCUCUGCCUCCCUGCACCAGGAGCCCUAUCUGGGAAGCUGGGCUCAAACUCUACCUUCUCCAAAAGCCCCUCUUUCUACAGGUUUUUUCCUUAGAACAAGAUCUCACCCACUGCAGGGGCUUAAACAUUUGCUGAAAUGUAGAGACCAAUGAAUGCCCGGGCCUCACCAUCCGUACCACUCACUCAUAUGGCAUUGUGUCUUUAUGGCCCUGGGAAAUGUCCUCCACGACUGUUUAAUUUCUCAUGUCUUUCAUCCCAGUCUGACAAAGGAAAAUGAAGUUAAUGCACCUCCUACAUGCUGGCCACUGAGCACAGUAUUAAACGAGUAUGCAUUGGCGCAUUUCAUCCCUCACCUCCGCUCAACCAUCAUCACCGCCGUCUUACAGAGAAGCAACUGACUUGCCCAAGGUCACACAGCUAGAAGGUGGCAGGGCCCAGACUGGACCUCUGUAUGCCAGACUUCAAAGUCUGAGGCUGCAGCCACCAUGUCCCACUCAGGGGGCCAGGUGAGGAGACACAGAGAUGAUCAAUGGCAAAUGCUAAAUGAAAUGUGUCCAAUUUGCCUCCUAGAAAGCCCUGAGCAGCUCAAGGUGUCUCCAAUUUUUGUCUCUUUGUAUGUACUGGGAUUUGGCCUAAGAUUUUAUUUGGGUUUUCAAAAAGUUGGGAGGAUAUGGAGGGGGGUUACACGAAUUUAAAAGUUUGGAGGUCAUGGACUGUAGGCCAACCCCAUCCUUGUACCAAUGACAAGACCAAGGCAUGGAAGUGGAAGUGACUUGCCCAAAGUCAUGGCCUCUGCCACCGAAGCCGGUGAACUCUAUUUGUUUCUCCCACCCAAUCUUUGAUGUAAAGGCCAUCGUAUGCUCCAUUUAGCCCUU
rnacentral:lncRNA from 1 species